GACGAACGCUGGCGGCGUGCCUAAUACAUGCAAGUAGGACGCAGUUGCGAACGGGUGAGUAACGCCUAGUUAACUACCUAUUAGAGGGGGAUAACUAUUGGAACCGAUAGCUAAUACCGCAUACUAGUAGAUGGAUCUGCGUUGUAUUAGCUAGUAGGUAGGGUAAUGGCCUACCUAGGCAACGAUACAUAGCCGAAGUGGGAGGGUGGUCGGCCAGACUGGGACUGGGACACGGACCAGACGCCUAGGGGAGGCAGCAGUAGGGGAUCUUGGGCAAGGGGGGGAACACUGACCGAGCAACGCCAAGUGAGGGAAGAAGGUGUGCGGAUCGGAAAGGUCUGUUGGUAAGGAGGCGGUAGUUAACCAGAAAGGGACGGCUAACUACGUGCCAGCAGCCGCGGUAAUUC
rnacentral:rRNA from 1 species